ACCUCUUUUCUCAGGGAAUAAGAANCUGAAGGUACCUGAGGAAUCAGCAUCGGCUAACUCCGUGCCAGCAGCCGCGGUAAUANCGGAGGAUGCAAGCGUUAUCCGGAAUGAUUGGGCGUAAAGCGUCCGCAGGUGGUUUAUCAAGUCUGCUGUCAAAGAGUUUGGCUCAACCAAAUAAAGGCAGUGGAAACUGACAGACUGGAGUGCGGUAAGGGCAGAGGGAAUUCCUGGUGUAGCGGUGAAAUGCGUAGAGAUACAGGAAGAACACCGGUGGCGAAAGCGCUCUGCUGGGCCGUAACUGACACUGAGGGACGAAAGCUAGGGGAGCGAAUGGGAUUAGAUACCCC
rnacentral:rRNA from 1 species